rnacentral:rRNA from 1 species
UCGCGGUAUGGGAUGGGGUCGCGUCCUAUCAGCUUGACGGCGGGGUAACGGCCCACCGUGGCUUCGACGGGUAGCCGGCCUGAGAGGGCGACCGGCCACAUUGGGACUGAGAUACGGCCCAGACUCCUACGGGAGGCAGCAGUGGGGAAUAUUGCACAAUGGGCGCAAGCCUGAUGCAGCGACGCCGCGUGAGGGAUGGAGGCCUUCGGGUUGUAAACCUCUUUUAUCGGGGAGCAAGCGAGAGUGAGUUUACCCGUUGAAUAAGCACCGGCUAACUACGUGCCAGCAGCCGCGGUAAUACGUAGGGUGCAAGCGUUAUCCGGAAUUAUUGGGCGUAAAGGGCUCGUAGGCGGUUCGUCGCGUCCGGUGUGAAAGUCCAUCGCUUAACGGGGAUCCGCGCCGGGUACGGGCG